GUGAAAUGAGAAAAACAAGCUGCUUGUAUAUCAUCAGGAAUGAGCCCUAUGUUAUGCUUAAUAUUUUCCAGAGACAAAUGUGGUGACAGACUUAUCAGAAACGCUGGCUGAAAUUAAGCUGUUGGUCCAAACAUCCUCAUCAUCCUUUAUCCUAAAGCCAAAGCAAAAAUGAGAUGUCCCAGUGGGUGUGGGCCAUGGUCUCAGCACUGGAAGCUGCACUCUUUCCCUUCAAGCUGGAGGCCCUCUAUACCAACCGGAUGAAGACAUUUCUUCUGUGCAGUCUGUGGCAGUCCAAAAACUGAUUUCCUCUUGGAGUUUCCAGUGAAAUUGUUGUGCCCUCAGAGUGUAGCUAAGUGAGCUCAGGUAGCUGCUCUUCCAGAACUGUGGAUUCUCUGCAAGCUAAGCUCAGGCAAGGAAGGCCAAUAGCAGGAAAGGAAAACCUGCUGCAAACCCAUCUGAAGGCAAAGGGCUGGGACCUCUGGCUGGCAGCAACUUACAGGAAUGCCACUGUCAUUUUGUUUGCAGUGAUUAAAGAUGAGCAUCUUAGCCCUGUGCUAAGGGAUUUCUUGCCUUUGAAACACAUUUAGUUAAUUAUUGCAUCCUAAUUCACUUUCUACUGUGGAAUAAGCCUUGCUGUGGACAGCAGAGCAUAGGAAGCACAAGAUGGUGCUUUUCUGUGUCAAAGCUUCAACUCUGGCAUCACUUUUUUGCAAUGUUAAAUCACAGAAUCCACAAGGGAGAUGCUAUAAUAGCAAAAUGCUGUUAAAAAUGAUGAUGUAUUUUAUAAGGGCUUCAAGCACCUCUCAUAAUAUUUGCAGAUAAUCUCAGUUUUCCGAUUUGUCAAGGCAUUAUUCUCCAUCUGUGAUAGCCAGUGAUAGCCAAAGAGAUUUUUAAUCCAUUUUUAUCAACAUUAGUGAGUUCAUUGCAAAUAUGUCGAAAAAACAAAAUGCAAGCAUUAAAAGCAGUAUGAGGACAACAUAUUGUUAUUCUAGCAUGGGCUCAAACCUGCACAACUGCAAAUUAAAAUGUCGUGGUCUUUGUGAGGUGCUCCCACCCAGGGAGGCAACGAUUUAGCUUCAGAUAAGCACUGUUAAAGUGAGAGGCGUGGCUUUAAAGCCUCCCAAGAGGGAAUUCCAUCCUCUGCCUCAGCCUCCCUGGCCAUGAUGCUGCAGCCCCAGAAUGCAACAAAUGGUGGAGAAUGUGGGCAUCCAGCGAAGCACCAGGAGAACAGCAGGACCGGCUCCAGACACCCCAUAAGUCCCCAGCUGAUGGCUUGAGAGCCGGCGAGACCCCCGCCUUGGAAAGGAGGACUUGAGAGUACCUGGCAGGAGGGCCAGGUUGGGAGUGCCAUGGGCAUGGGGGAAAAGGGCUUAUGGGGGGGACCAAGACCAGGUGAUGGGACAAACAUCUCACAUCACCCAACGAGAUGUAUUAUGGAUGGUUUUAUUUUUUUUAUAUACAUGGGAAGGACCUUUAUGAAAGAUAUUAACACUAUGGACGAUUAUGGACGGUAUGGCUCUUCCUGUGGACUGGAUUUUGGCUUCUGUGAAGUCCCUCUUUUUUUUUUGGUGUCUACCUCCCCAUAUCUUCCCCUCUCCUUUGCUCCUAAGGGUGAAAAAUGCCAAGAUGGCUCAGGGUUGCUGCCGUCACCCCUGCUGUCACCCCUGUGUCUCUCUGCCAUCCCAUCCCCUGUCUUCCUGAAGGCAGGCAAGGGAGGGAGAACAUCCAGAGUGAUGUGGGGUCUGCUGCCGUCUGCCCGCCGUUCCGUGUCCUCCUUCACCCCCUGUCUUUCCAUAUUCCCCAUUCCCUGUCCAGGAAAAUGGAAAUAUCAUGCUGUCCUGGACCCACCCCCUUCCCAUGAUGGCCCUGGCCAUGCUGUCUGGGAUCCCUUUUUCCUGCCUUACUCCUGUUUUUUUGGUCCCCUAAGCUUUCCCUUCCCACAGUAACUUCUCCUCUGGUUCCACCCCUUUCUCUGGCUGCUCCACCUUGGGGGCUGUGUCGUUUCCAUUGUGGGCAGCACCUCCUCUGGGGAAAUCGGAACUGUAACCUGAGCUCUGAAGGCCAGCCUUUCAUCAGGACCGUCUGGAGUGGUGGCACCCACGUGUUUGGGACGGGAGCUGAGGCUGAGCACCAAAAACUCUGCCCCUUCUAAGAGGAGAUCAAAGAACUGCACCCUUCCUAAAGGAAAAUCAAGAACUGGAAGAGACUGAACUAAAAAAAACUUUGUUUUUAUUAACUACCACCACUGCUUAAUUUUCCUGGCUGUUGUCCGAGAACUAAGUGUUUGUUUCUAAUUUUGUUUUUGCUUGUUUGCUUAAUGUGUUUUGUUGUUGAGUGCUAGUGUCUUUAGUGUCCCACAAAGCAAGGCAGGUGCUUUGAGGUGGGGGAGGGAGGUUGGUUUUUCUAUGGUGUAAGUUUUAGAAACAUCCUAAGCUCCUAACAAAAUUUAAUUUAAAAAAAGGGGCAGUUGUGAGGUGCCCCUGCCCAGGGAGGCAAAAAUUUAGUGUUGCCCUGAGAAUCAGACCUUUUGAUAUUGUUUUCAUAAUUUUGAGCCACUUUCCCAGGAAAGUAACUAUAAACAUAAGUGUUUGUACAUUCCAUUAAAGAUACACUUUUUGAUGGAUGCCUCUCACGGCCAGUGUGGUUGGGAAGGUGGUAGCCUGACUAUCCAAUCCCUGGUCAUGGUCAGAAACCUAUAAAUACU